rnacentral:miRNA from 1 species
UCAGAUGGCAGAGCUGAGGCUGC